rnacentral:rRNA from 1 species
CUACGGGCCGCAGCAGUGAGGAAUCUUGCGCAAUGGGGGAAACCCUGACGCAGCCACGCCGCGUGGGUGAAGAAGGCCUUCGGGUCGUAAAGCCCUGUCAGGUGGGAAGAAACGCAUUGAGCUGAAUAAGCUCGUUGCCUGACGGUACCACCAAAGGAAGCACCGGCUAACUCCGUGCCAGGCAGCCGCGGUAAUACGGAGGGUGCAAGCGUUGUUCGGAAUUACGGGGCGUAAAGCGUGUGUAGGCGGCUUGGUAAGUCGGAUGUGAAAUCCCUGGGCUUAACCCAGGAAGUGCAUCCGAUACUGUCAAGCUUGAGUCCUGGAGAGGGGUGUGGAAUUCCCGGGGUAGAGGUGAAAUUCGUAGAUAUCGGGAGGAACACCAGUGGCGAAGGCGACACCCUGGAUGGAGACUGACGCUGAGACACGAAAGCGUGGGGAGCAAACAGGAUUAGAUACCCGUGUAGUC